rnacentral:rRNA from 1 species
CACGUAGGGUGCGAGCGUUGUCCGGAAUUAUUGGGCGUAAAGAGCUCGUAGGCGGUGUGUCGCGUCGGCCGUGAAAACCUGCAGCUUAACUGUGGGCGUGCGGUCGAUACGGGCAUCACUGGAGUUCGGCAGGGGAGACUGGAAUUCCUGGUGUAGCGGUGAAAUGCGCAGAUAUCAGGAGGAACACCGGUGGCGAAGGCGGGUCUCUGGGCCGAUACUGACGCUGAGGAGCGAAAGCGUGGGGAGCGAGCAGG